AUCCGUAUAAUUCGUGAUAACCUUUGAAAUGAGGAGAAAGAGUCUUGCAGGGAUGUGGGCGCACAUUCCAUGAGGAACCUGGUUUAAACCUUGUUGCGCCUGGUGGAAUGGCGGGAAAGGAGUUCCAGCAGCAGAGCAACCUGGGGCCGUCCGUAUAAUCCGUGAUUCCCGGUGAAGUGAGGAGGAGGAGUCUCGCAAAGGUGCCGGGGUGCAUUCCAUGGGGAUCCUGAUUUAACCCUCGUUGCGGUAAGCAGCACUUCUGUGCUAAAACCUAGAGGUGUCACCACGGGAACCUGUGCAACGGGGCUAUACCCUCACCUUCCGACUUUUUCUCGGGGAGCACGAGCUUCGACGCCCUGAGAACUGGCUGCAUUUCCUGCUCCAAUGGCUCGGCCCUGGCCGCACCCAUAUGCUGUCGUGAUUCAGCUCGAUGGGUGUCCCAUGGUGGAAUCUGCAACUUUGCAUGUCCAGCGUUUGAGCGUGUGCUUCAAUCGAUGAUGACCCCCACUAAUGCAUUCCUUGGAAAUCUGAACAAAAUGAGUGAGAAAUCUCUGUCGUCUCUUCCUUGGAACUGAGGUCCAACACGUGCCUCCCAAAAGGAAAGUAGGGAUAGGUUCACGUUACAUUUGCUCCCGUGGGUGUCCACAGCCACGCUGUUUAAGUUGAGGCUUUUGGCCAUCUGAUGGGGAGAAAAGGCAUUGGGAAAGGACCCUGGGAUGCCAAUCCAUGUGGGAAGGCUAGGGACAGCAUGCCGUCUGUGGGCUCCUUGGUCUAGCCAGGACUGCUGUCCCCUGCCACGGUUUAGCAUUCGGGUAGGAGAGAAAUCGUGAGCCCUUGGUGGUCCUCUCGCCUGCACUUGAGUUCUACAGGCCGCUCCCACCGGCUACUCGUUGCCUUGUGCCCGCAAAGAAACAGAAGUCUGUAUGCUUAGUUGCAGAGCAGGAUUCCAAGCCUAGGGCAGGGUUCUUUGUCAUGUUCUGUUUGGGAGACCAGAUGCAGUUUAGGUUUCUCCUGAUAAGGGGAGAAAUCAAAUGGGCCGUUGUCCCCGGGAGGUUGGCCAAGCUGAUGUCUCCUCCUAGGGUUGUUCCCUGCUUGUGUAUGCUGUGUGAUGGGGCUAGAAAAUGCCUUCAUCAAGCUUCAUCACCACAAGCUUCUUUGGUGAGGGGUGGCUGUGGCAUCUUGCCAUGACACGUUGGGAUCCCGGUGGAGAGAGAAAGGCAAAGCGAGUGAAAAAGACACGUGAGAUGGCUGCCUAAGCCCACAGGUUUACUGGUGGGUGGAUAGAUCGACAGUGGCCAAAGGGUUCCCGGAACACAGUUGGGAUUCCCUCCGGAGCAUUUGGAGGCAUGUGUAGGGAUGGAACAUGGGAGCACAUUUGUGGACUGUCCCGCCUUUUUCCUCUCCUUUGUUGAUUUGCUUCAUGGCAGGUUCCUGUGCCAGUGAAUGGUUUCCUUCCUGGCACAGUAUGUUGUCUUCUCAUGGGGGUCGAUUUGGAGGCCGUGGGUUGUUUUGUCCCUGUCUAUCCACGUUCCCCCUGUGUUGAAGGUGUGAAGGUGUUUCUCAGGUCAGCCCAGCAUCAUUCCUAUACCCAGACCACAUAGCAUUCCAUUAGGUAUUUAGCUCUUCCCGGAGGUUAGUGGGCGCAACCAUGUGGAAACAAGGGAGUCGGCUGCCAAGGAAAGUCUACAGUUUUAUGGGCAGGAAAUGGUGUGUGGUGUCGGGGUCAUUUUGUCCAGCUGCCCGCUUGUGCUGUGAGCCUUUUUUCUCCAGUGUGGCUGGCCUCACGCCAGACAAGUUAUGCAGGUUCAAGUGUCCAGGCUGUUGGCUGGUUCUCUCAUUUCACACCUGUGUGUGACCUGUUGCUUCUGGAGGACCUGGUUCUCACAUCUUCUCCAAGGUCUUGUCACUGACGGGUCCAGAGUGUGAAAGUGCAAGGCACCACAGCAACUUACUCAGUUGCUGCAAGGGUUUGCCCUGGUAAUUUGGGCCUCUGAAUGGCUCCUAUGCCAUUAGCUUUGCCUGUUGUCCAAGGGAAGCUCCUCUGGCUUGUCAGGAGGGCUGGAACUAUGCUUGCUCUUGAGUCCCCCUUGGUCAGUCCAGGGGUUCCUUAGGUGCCCUUUGUCAUGGGUCACUAAGAGCCGCUUUUAAUGGAGGUCAUCACAUUAGGCUCAAGGCCGUUCCCUUGUGGAAUAUCUCAGGGCCGACAUUUCCCAUUGAGGGUGAGUCCAUUAAGUGAAAACCUAUAUGCCAAGAGCGGGUUUGUUCUCUUGGAGGGCAGUGGCUCUUAGACUGAGGGAUCCCAUUU